rnacentral:rRNA from 1 species
UGGGGAAUAUUGCACAAUGGGCGAAAGCCUGAUGCAGCGACGCCGCGUGAGCGAAGAAGUAUUUCGGUAUGUAAAGCUCUAUCAGCAGGGAAGAAAAUGACGGUACCUGACUAAGAAGCCCCGGCUAACUACGUGCCAGCAGCCGCGGUAAUACGUAGGGGGCAAGCGUUAUCCGGAUUUACUGGGUGUAAAGGGAGCGUAGACGGAGAGGCAAGUCUGGAGUGAAAGCCCGGGGCUCAACCCCGGGACUGCUUUGGAAACUGUUUAUCUAGAGUGCCGGAGGGGUAAGUGGAAUUCCUAGUGUAGCGGUGAAAUGCGUAGAUAUUAGGAGGAACACCAGUGGCGAAGGCGGCUUACUGGACGGUAACUGACGUUGAGGCUCGAAAGCGUGGGGAGCAAACAGGAUUAGAUACC